rnacentral:lncRNA from 1 species
GUGGCAUGAAGAUGAGUUCCUUCUUCACCUGGUUGGUGGCAUGAAUGAGAGUACGGGUUGUACAUUUCAUCAUGCGGUUGGUGGCAUGAAGAUGAGUUCAUUCUUCACCUGGUUGGUGGCAUGAGUGGCAAGUUGCCGAAUGAUAUUAGAGUACGGGUUGUACAUUUCAUCACCUGGUUGGUGGCAUGAAGGAAAAUACCGGUUGUACAUUUCAUCACCUGGUUGGUGGCAUGAAGAUGAGUUCCUUCUUCAUCUGGUUGAUGGCAUGAGUGGCAAGUUGCCAAAUGAUAUUAGAGU